AUGAAAGGUUCCCACUUAAGUACGAAAGGGUAAAAACGAUAUUUGCGGUCAAAACAUAAGAACAUGGUAAGCCAUUACAUGAAACCCUAUUUCUUCUUUCUUGGAAAUCCUGAAGAGAGAAGCAGAGCCUAGCGGGAAGUGGAUCCUCCAGCCGUCGACGAGAAUCUAGAGAAAGAAGCUUCUUCGCCUGCCGUGGACGAGAAACUGUAUUCAGGUCGAGGGUUUUGGACUCCUUUGUGCACGAAGACGCACAAGAUCUGCGAGGUUUCUUGUCACUUCAGUGGGGUUUGAACUUUGCUCAGAGUUUUUGGCAAUGGAGCCAUAUUGGAAUCCUCCUUGGGAUAGUCAGA